rnacentral:rRNA from 1 species
GACGAACGCUGGCGGCGUGCUUAACACAUGCAAGUCGAGCGGUAAGGCCCCUCGGGGUACGACGAGCGGCGAACGGGUAGAGUAACACGUGGGUGACCUCGCCCUCAGCUCUGGGAUAAGCCUGGGAAACUGGGUCUAAUACCGGAUAUGACUCCAUGACGCAUGUCGUGGGGUGGAAAGCCUUGUGCGGCUGGGGAUGGGCCCGCGGCCUAUCAGCUUGUUGGUGGGGUGAUGGCCUACCAAGGCGACGACGGGUAGCCGGCCUGAGAGGGCGACCGGCCACACUGGGAC